rnacentral:tRNA from 1 species
GGGAAUGUGGCUUAGUGGUAAGAGUGCUUGCCUAGCGGGCAUGAAACCUUGGGUUCAAUUCCUUAUGCCA